rnacentral:sRNA from 1 species
UGCGUUUCUGGAAGGCUAUUAAGAAAGGC